GCCGAGCUAGGUAACGAUAGCUUGUGACCCGAGUGGGGGCAAUAAGGUGAAGGAAGAAGCAAUGUUGGAGUAAGAAGAAGAUGGGGCCUUAUUAAUGUUUCUUCUCUUUGAUAUAAUAGACAUAAGAAGUGUGCACCUGUAAUACGAAAAUCGCACAUUCCACAACGUAGAGGAAAUGUUGCACUAGCUUCUUCUCCUCAAUAGUAAUACUGCUUCAACCGUCACCUUU
rnacentral:SRP_RNA from 1 species